AGUGAACGCUGGCGGUAGGCCUAACACAUGCAAGUCGAACGGCAGCACAGUAAGAGCUUGCUCUUACGGGUGGCGAGUGGCGGACGGGUGAGGAAUACAUCGGAAUCUACUUUUUCGUGGGGGAUAACGUAGGGAAACUUACGCUAAUACCGCAUACGACCUACGGGGGAAAGCAGGGGAUCUUCGGACCUUGCGCGAUUGAAUGAGCCGGUGUCGGAUUAGCUAGUUGGCGGGGUAAAGGCCCACCAAGGCGACGAUCCGUAGCUGGUCUGAGAGGAUGAUCAGCCACACUGGAACUGAGACACGGUCCAGACUCCUACGGGAGGCAGCAGUGGGGAAUAUUGGACAAUGGGCGCAAGCCUGAUCCAGCCAUACCGCGUGGGUGAAGAAGGCCUUCGGGUUGUAAAGCCCUUUUGUUGGGAAAGAAAAGCAGCAGGUUAAUACCCCGCUGUUCUGACGGUACCCAAAGAAUAAGCACCGGCUAACUUCGUG
rnacentral:rRNA from 1 species